CACUGUACUCACUGUGGCGGGACUCUAUCACAGUUCAUUAGACUGCGUACCAAGAUAUGGCUCCAUACUAAUUUUAGGUUUGGCCAUAGUAGCUCUAGGAGAAUUAUUUGGACUAAUUUACAUGAAAUGCUUUGACCCACUGAUUGAAUUUCAAUAAGACUUGAAAGCACAGGCUGCGUCGUCUUUCUUCCCUACUUUGUCUCAGUAGCUCACAAGGAAUCCUAAAUUCAACAAUUUCUAGUCCCGAGCAGUUUGCCAGAUGUGCCAAGCAUCAUUGGGUCACCUCGCUUUUCUCAUCACUUGCAGCCAACUGAUCGUUCUCCAAGGAUACUGUUUUCUCUAAGCCAGUGCGGACUAGAAUGCUGGGUGAAGGCUAGUUUGUAGUCUUAUUGCUUUGUAAAAAAUGUCAAUUCAUUGAUUGUAACAGAAAACAAUAAAAACAUUAAAAUAAA
rnacentral:lncRNA from 1 species